CUGCUCCUGUGUUGAUGCGUACAGCUGCUGGUCAUUUGGAAUUAAAAGGAGAAGGGGAUGGGGCCGGGUCAGGGGUUAUUGGAGAAUGGGUCAAUUGAGGUGGGAUCUGGACAGCUGGAGUGUUUUGUUAAGAAUUAAGUUGGGCUGGGAAUGGGUUACGUAUGGAUAGUGGGCUGUGAUAGUGCUGGAAAUUGUAAAGGGCUUGGGUAUUGGGGUGUUAUUGUAUUGUUGUUGGGAAUAGGACAAAAGAAAGUGGAAAUGGGUUGAAGUGAAUUACUAUUAUAUCCAUUUAAUUAAAGACUUAGCCAAAAUGAGCUAAUUAAUAAAUUCGGC
rnacentral:lncRNA from 1 species